UCAGGACGAACGCUGGCGGCGUGCUUAACACAUGCAAGUCGAACGGAAAGGCCCUUCGGGGUGCUCGAGUGGCGAACGGGUGAGUAACACGUGGGUGAUCUGCCCUGCACUUUGGGAUAAGCCUGGGAAACUGGGUCUAAUACCGGAUAGGACCACGCGCUUCAUGGUGUGUGGUGGAAAGCUUUUGCGGUGUGGGAUGGGCCCGCGGCCUAUCAGCUUGUUGGUGGGGUAAUGGCCUACCAAGGCGUCGACGGGUAGCCGGCCUGAGAGGGUGUCCGGCCACACUGGGACUGAGAUACGGCCCAGACUCCUACGGGAGGCAGCAGUGGGGAAUAUUGCACAAUGGGCGCAAGCCUGAUGCAGCGACGCCGCGUGGGGGAUGACGGCCUUCGGGUUGUAAACCUCUUUCAGCACAGACGAAGCGCAAGUGACGGUAUGUGCAGAAGAAGCACCGGCCAACUACGUGCCAGCAGCCGCGGUAAUACGUAGGGUGCGAGCGUUGUCCGGAAUUACUGGGCGUAAAGAGCUUGUAGGUGGUUUGUCGCGUUGUUCGUGAAAUCUCACGGCUUAACUGUGAGCGUGCGGGCGAUACGGGCAGACUAGAGUACUGCAGGGGAGACUGGAAUUCCUGGUGUAGCGGUGGAAUGCGCAGAUAUCAGGAGGAACACCGGUGGCGAAGGCGGGUCUCUGGGCAGUAACUGACGCUGAGAAGCGAAAGCGUGGGGAGCGAACAGGAUUAGAUACCCUGGUAGUCCACGCCGUAAACGGUGGGUACUAGGUGUGGGUUUCCUUCCUUGGGAUCCGUGCCGUAGCUAACGCAUUAAGUA
rnacentral:rRNA from 1 species